rnacentral:rRNA from 1 species
UACAGAGGGUGCAAGCGUUGUUCGGAAUCAUUGGGCGUAAAGCGCACGUAGGCGGCCUGCUAAGUCGGAUGUGAAAGCCCAGGGCUCAACCCUGGAAGUGCAUACGAAACUGGUGGGCUUGAAUGUCGGAGAGGGCAGUGGAAUUCCGAGUGUAGAGGUGAAAUUCGUAGAUAUUCGGAGGAACACCGGUGGCGAAGGCGGCUCUCUGGACCGAUACUGACGCUGAGGCGCGAAAGCGUGGGGAGCAAACAGG